GCUUGUCUGAAAUAAUACUGACUCUGUAUUAACACCUUUUAACUUUACACCUUUAUCUGUCAGAAUGUGCCAGUAUCCUGGAGCGUCAACUCUGCAACAGCAACCACAAUCAAGGAGAGGCCAAAAUCCCCUUUUUCAACUCCACAACAGCCUGUCCAAAGAGUGACAAACUCAAAAGCAGUCCAGCAGCUGCAGGAGUCCUGCACUGGUUUGCAGGUCAAUGGAUCGGGCAGGGAGGUUUCAAGAACUCCUCUGGCCACAGCGGUGCAGCCUAAAGAGAAGGACAGGAAGGAUCGAACACCAUCACAGAGUGUCCCCGAUUCAACAAAUUCUGCAGCAGCAGAGGCCACAACUAAGAAGGAUCCCAAAUCAGUGUGUGAGACUGCGCAGUCUGAUUCCUCCACUGGACUGAAGGUGAAGGAACUGGCCCAGAUGUUUUCAGCUGCCACAACCCAGGAAUCAGCAGUCCGACCAAAGAAGAAACGCAGAGGGGAACAGAAUCUAUCACAGGUACAAGACCCUGUGUAAAUCUUAUUCUUCACUUCACUGACUGUCUGCUAAGCUGUUUAUA